CUGGGAUUACAGGCUUGAGCCACCGCGCCUGGACAGAAACUUUAAAUAAUACAGGCGGCCGGGCGCGGUGGCUCAAGCCUGUAAUCCCAGC
rnacentral:miRNA from 1 species